rnacentral:rRNA from 1 species
GAUGAACGCUGGCGGCGUGCCUAAUACAUGCAAGUCGAGCGAACGGACGAGAAGCUUGCUUCUCUGAUGUUAGCGGCGGACGGGUGAGUAACACGUGGAUAACCUACCUAUAAGACUGGGAUAACUUCGGGAAACCGGAGCUAAUACCGGAUAAUAUUUUGAACCGCAUGGUUCAAAAGUGAAAGACGGUCUUGCUGUCACUUAUAGAUGGAUCCGCGCUGCAUUAGCUAGUUGGUAAGGUAACGGCUUACCAAGGCAACGAUGCAUAGCCGACCUGAGAGGGUGAUCGGCCACACUGGAACUGAGACACGGUCCAGACUCCUACGGGAGGCAGCAGUAGGGAAUCUUCCGCAAUGGGCGAAAGCCUGACGGAGCAACGCCGCGUGAGUGAUGAAGGUCUUCGGAUCGUAAAACUCUGUUAUUAGGGAAGAACAUAUGUGUAAGUAACUGUGCACAUCUUGACGGUACCUAAUCAGAAAGCCACGGCCAACUACGUGCCAGCAGCCGCGGUAAUACGUAGGUGGCAAGCGUUAUCCGGAAUUAUUGGGCGUAAAGCGCGCGUAGGCGGUUUUUUAAGUCUGAUGUGAAAGCCCACGGCUCAACCGUGGAGGGUCAUUGGAAACUGGAAAACUUGAGUGCAGAAGAGGAAAGUGGAAUUCCAUGUGUAGCGGUGAAAUGCGCAGAGAUAUGGAGGAACACCAGUGGCGAAGGCGACUUUCUGGUCUGUAACUGACGCUGAUGUGCGAAAGCGUGGGGAUCAAACAGGAUUAGAUACCCUGGUAGUCCACGCCGUAAACGAUGAGUGCUAAGUGUUAGGGGGUUUCCGCCCCUUAGUGCUGCAGCUAACGCAUUAAGCACUCCGCCUGGGGAGUACGACCGCAAGGUUGAAACUCAAAGGAAUUGACGGGGACCCGCACAAGCGGUGGAGCAUGUGGUUUAAUUCGAAGCAACGCGAAGAACCUUACCAAAUCUUGACAUCCUUUGACAACUCUAGAGAUAGAGCUUUCCCCUUCGGGGGACAAAGUGACAGGUGGUGCAUGGUUGUCGUCAGCUCGUGUCGUGAGAUGUUGGGUUAAGUCCCGCAACGAGCGCAACCCUUAAGCUUAGUUGCCAUCAUUAAGUUGGGCACUCUAAGUUGACUGCCGGUGACAAACCGGAGGAAGGUGGGGAUGACGUCAAAUCAUCAUGCCCCUUAUGAUUUGGGCUACACACGUGCUACAAUGGACAAUACAAAGGGCAGCGAAACCGCGAGGUCAAGCAAAUCCCAUAAAGUUGUUCUCAGUUCGGAUUGUAGUCUGCAACUCGACUACAUGAAGCUGGAAUCGCUAGUAAUCGUAGAUCAGCAUGCUACGGUGAAUACGUUCCCGGGUCU